UUUUAUUAUAGGAACGGGGUUUUCUGUGGGGCAAAAAAUAGACUGGUGUUACUUGACUUUUCAAUCUCCUCUUCCUCCAGUGGCCAAAAUAAAUCACUUUCACAAAGAGCUGCCCUGUGUAGAACCCAUAGUUUUCUAGCUUGCUGCAGAGUGAUUAGGGACAAAUAGGGAAAAAAAAAAAAAAAAGCGAAAAACAAGAAAAUGAACACUGAAGCCAUCAUCCUUCUCAUGUCUCUGGGUAGAGAAAUAUGGGUAAACUUUAGCUAAAGGAAAUUAAAAUUAUGCAAGUUAACUACCUAGUUCAUUCGCCGUUAGCUAAAUUUGUUCACUUUAGGUUUUAAUCUCUUUCCAAACUAACAAUUUUGUCUUAACCCAGCAAUGCUUGCUAAUAAAUGGAAUGCACGCCCUUCCCAGACUUAUACUUCAUUGAGGCUCUGUAUUUGGUACCUGGCAGUGAAAAAGUAUGCUUUCCCAACAGUCGGUAGUGAAUACUAA